rnacentral:rRNA from 1 species
AUGGGCAGCACCGGAGCCAGCCUCGUCCGGGCCCUGCUGUUCGCGUCGCUCUUCGCCGGGUUCGCGGCGGACCUCGCCGCGGGGGAGAAGGACUGCUACGACGAGAGGGACAGCGUCAUCCGCAUGUGCAAGUGGACCAUCAAGAAGGGGAGCCCCUACGUGAUCCCUGACAUGCCCUGCCGCCUCGAGGUGAGGAAGGUGGACAUGCCCUGCAUCUGCCGCGUCCUCACCGCCGCCGACGAGCGGAUCAUCAGCCCCGAGAAGCUCGUCCGCUGCUCCCGGGAAGCCGGCGUCGCCCUCCCCGUCGGGAGCAAAUGCGGGACCUACACCAUCCUGGCGCCAGCGCCACCAUGCGCGCAUGCGUGA